AACGAACGUUGGCGGCGUGGAUUAGGCACGCAAGUCGAGCGAAUCCCCGCAAGGGGGGAAGCGGCGAAAGGGGCAGUAAGGCAUGGGUAACCUACCCUGGGGACUGGGAUAGCCCUUCGAGAGAAGGGGUAAUACCGGGCGAUGUGCCGGGCCGGCAUCGGUCAGUCACCAAAUGAGUUUCGCCCUGGGAGGGGCCCAUGUGAUAUUAGCUAGUUGGGGAGGUAACGGCUCACCAAGGCGAAGAUGUCUAGCGGGUGUGAGAGCACGACCCGCGCCACUGGCACUGAGACACUGGCCAGACACCUACGGGUGGCUGCAGUCGAGGAUCUUCGGCAAUGGGCGCAAGCCUGACCGAGCGACGCCGCGUGUGCGAUGAAGGCCUUCGGGUUGUAAAGCACUGUCGAGAGGGAGAAAAGCGAAAGCUUGAUCUAUCUCUGGAGGAAGCACGGGCUAAGUUCGUGCCAGCCGCCGCCGUAACAC
rnacentral:rRNA from 1 species